rnacentral:lncRNA from 10 species
GAAAUAACAAGUUUUGAAGGCAAAAUAAGUCCUUAAAUUGGCAACUUUGACACAUAAUUCCAUGUAGUAGUUAAUCUUGCUAGAAGAUCCCAAUGUUGUUAUUCUAAUACAAUCUGAUAAUGUUCACUGGCAUUUUCCACUGUUGGCAUCUUUACUAUAGCCUACAGUUGUUUGUUUGUUUAUUUGAGAUGGAGUCUUGCUCUGUUGCCUAGGCUAGAGUGCAGUGGCGUGAUCUUGGCUCAC